GAUGAAGAACGCAGCGAAAUGCGAUACGUAAUGUGAAUUGCAGAAUUCAGUGAAUCAUCGAGUCUUUGAACGCACAUUGCGCCCCCUGGUAUUCCGGGGGGCAUGCCUGUCCGAGCGUCAUUGCUGCCCUCAAGCCCGGCUUGUGUGUUGGGUCUCGUCCCCCUUCCCGGGGGGACGGGCCCGAAAGGCAGCGGCGGCACCGCGUCCGGUCCUCGAGCGUAUGGGGCUUUGUCACCCGCUCUGUAGGCCCGGCCGGCGCUUGCCGAUCAACCAAAACUUUUUUCCAGGUUGACCUCGGAUCAGGUAGGGAUACCCGCUGAACUUAAGCAUAUCAAAGCGGAGGA
rnacentral:misc_RNA from 1 species